GGUGUAACCGGAUUCCUUUGAUUUCUUAAGUUCAAGCGGGCCGCGUAAGAUUCCCUUAACAUUAACGCGGGCCGCGAGAGGUUAAAAAGGUGGCGCAGCCCGGUGCGGCCACGUGGCCCAACACCCGGCUAAGCUAGUUGUCAACUCAGCACAGCGACGCGUUGACCCAGCUUUGAAGCGGGCCGCGUAAGCUUUGUGCUUAUACUACGCGGGCCGCGAGAGACCCCGAUUCAGGCACUAUAUAAAGGAGGCAUCGGCUGUCCAUUUCAAUUCGUUCAUUCUUCGAUUCUUUCUCUCAAAUUCUGAUAUAAGGCUUUAUUAAGCGGGUAUUAUACCCCCUAAUUAGCGAAGCUCUGCCUCGUUAGCUAUGCCACUGAUUAUAAACAGGGAAUUACAAAGGAAAGCCCUAUAAUAGCAAUGUAACUUAGUGUGAAGCCAAUAAAAGCCAGCUGGAGAGCACUGAAG
rnacentral:lncRNA from 1 species